GGUCUUUAGAAAUAUAUUUUACAUUAAGUAUGAAAGAAAUAUGUACUAAUGGUUAAUAAACUUGGCAUGUGCGAUGCAUAAUAGCUAAAACAAAAUGUAAGCAUAUUUGUUACAUCAUAACCCCUUAAGGACACAGUUUCAGAAAUAAAAGGGAAUCAUGACAGAAUAUUUCCGUCAUGUGUCUUUAUGUUUUGACUGCGGUUUGCCACAUUUAUAUAAACAAAGGUAAAAAAAAAAAAAAGAUUUUUAAACCCCAAUCAGACCUCAGUGGCCAUGCUUUAAUAGACAAAUUACAUUUUAUUUUAAUUCUCUGUUUGAUAAAUCUACCUGGAAACUCAAAAAUUGAAAUAAGUUAUCAUCUGAGUCUAAAGGAAAAUAAAAGAGAAUCAAACAGCUGAAAUGGUUAAUCUGAUAGCAAAGAAAAGCCUACAGAUUUUUUUCUUAUAGGAAUGUAUAAUAUGUUUUGUUUAAUGUGCAAUUCUGUGCUGGUUUCUCUUUAAUUUGCAAAUUUGU